UGUCACGUGGUGCCGUCGGCAGCGCCAGGCCGCGAGCCGCUCGGCGAGACGCUCCUCGCCGCGACGUUUCUUGGCGUAGAGAAGCACCGUGACUGCGCGCCGGGACGGCCCCGUUAGAACCACGAGAGGCUCCGAUCGCGCCGCACGAAUCCCCGUGCCGACGUCGACGACGAACUCACCGGCAAGCAGCAGCAGGCCGAGCAGGACGGAGCCGGUGGCGGUGGCGCGGUCGCCAUCGUCGUUGUCGUCGUCGUCGUCGUCGAGGUUGCCGGGCGGCAGGCAGAUGUCAACGGCCUCGUCGGCGAUGGCGACAGCCGCGUCGGGCCACACGGCGAGGGCGCUUUUCUUCACGUUCGGAAGAAGCAGCAGCGGCGUCCUCGUGCCGCUCGCCACAGGAACACCUGCCACACGGAGACGAAGAGUCGACUCAGCCUCAACCGAGUACUCGGCGCGGCAUGUAAACAUCGCCACGAGGGAGACACAGGAGGCCGCGCGUGGUGCUGGCCACCCACCCACCCCUCGUGUGCCACAGUGCCGGCCUUCAUAGAUGGAGCGCCGGCUAAUGCUUGCUCUCAACGUCCCUGAGAAUGACCCCGGG